UGGCCGCGGGAUUAGGGUUUGAUCAUGGCUCAGGACGAACGCUGGCGGCGUGCCUAAUACAUGCAAGUCGAGCGGAUGACAGAGGAGCUUGCUCCUCUAGAUUCAGCGGCGGACGGGUGAGUAACACGUGGGCAACCUGCCCUGUAGAUUGGGAUAACUCCGGGAAACCCGGGCUAAUACCGAAUAAUCCUUCGGACCUCAUGGUCCGAUGUUGAAAGGCGGCAUCUCGCUGUCACUACAAGAUGGGCCCGCGGCGCAUUAGCUAGUUGGUGAGGUAACGGCUCACCAAGGCCGCGAUGCGUAGCCGACCUGAGAGGGUGAUCGGCCACACUGGGACUGAGACACGGCCCAGACUCCUACGGGAGGCAGCAGUAGGGUAUCUUCCACAAUGGACGAAAGUCUGAUGGAGCAACGCCGCGUGAGUGAAGAAGGUUCUCGGAUCGUAAAACUCUGUUGUGAGGGAAGAACAAGUACCGGAGUAACUGCCGGUACCUGC
rnacentral:rRNA from 1 species